rnacentral:rRNA from 1 species
AACGAACGCUGGCGGCAUGCCUAACACAUGCAAGUCGAACGAGACCUUCGGGUCUAGUUGCGCACGGGGGCGUAACGCGUGGGAACCUGCCCUUAGGUACGGAAUAACUCCCUUUAAGGGGUGCUAAUACCGGAUAAUGUCUUCGGACAAAGGAUUUGUCGCCUUUGGAUGGGCCCGCGUUGGUUUAGCUAGUUGGUAGGGUAAAAGCCUACCAAGGCUACGAUCCUUAGCUGGUCUGAGAGGAUGAUCAGCCACACUGGGACUGGGACACGGCCCAGACUCCUACGGGAGGCAGCAGUGGGGAAUAUUGGAAAAUGGGCGAAAGCCUGAUCCAGCACUGCCGCGUGAGUGAUGAAGGCCUUAGGGUUGUAAAGCUCUUUUACCCGGGAUGAUAAUGACAGUACCGGGAGAAUAAGCACCGGCUAACUCCGUG